UUCCAGAUGCGUCGUCUUUUAAUCAUGCUGUUGGUCGUCACCUGUGUGCUGGAUGUCAGUCUCGGCAGCCCGACCUAUCUCGUUGGCAAUACCAGUCAUAGGGGUCCUUAUUUUCCAUAUUAUCACAAGUAUGAUCAUCUUUAUCACUAUCCACGGUAUUACGAAUUUUCACCGCAGCCAGGGUACCACUUCCUCCAGCGUCGACACUGGAGCCCGCCGACACCCUACGUAUUCGAUGAUUUCUACGGGGGCUGAUGGACGGAGGCGUUGGUUCGAAUCCACAUCAUUGGCUUCACUUGUGGUUGUUAUUGUUGUUGUUAAAUGUUAAUGUUCAUGUAUUUCUUCAGCUGUUUGUUAUUUCAUCGAUUGAAUAAUUUAUUAUAUUUUGAUCCAUAUGUUUAGUUUCUUUGUCUAUUUAUUUCAAUGUGUCUUUUUUUGUAUUUAGCUUGUCCUUCCGUUUACCAUCUAGUCGUCUAAUUUACUUAUCUGUCUGUUCGGAUAUUUUAUGAUUUUUCUAUCGAAAAAUAAUAGCUAUUUUGUUGCCAUGUAUUUAUAUUUAUAUAUCGUAUUUACCUAUAUAUUUAUCAUAAAACAUGAACGUUAUCACUUUUGUUUCGUCUUCAUAUUAAAGACUUUGAUGUU